GAAACACGGACCAAGGAGUCUAGCAUGUGCGCGAGUCAUUGGGACUCUGAUAAACCUAAAGGCGCAAUGAAAGUAAAGGUCCGCCUCGCGCGGACCGAGGGAGGAUGGGCCCGUCCGCGGACGGGCCCCGCACUCCCGGGGCGUCUCGUUCUCAUCGCGAGAAGAGGCGCACCCAGAGCGUACACGCUGGGACCCGAAAGAUGGUGAACUAUGCCUGGUCAGGACGAAGUCAGGGGAAACCCUGAUGGAGGUCCGUAGCGAUUCUGACGUGCAAAUCGAUCGUCGGAACUGGGUAUAGGGGCGAAAGACUAAUCNAACCUUCUAGUAGCUGG
rnacentral:rRNA from 1 species